UUCGCAAAAGAAAAAUCUUCAUUUUAGAAUUAGAACGAACGUCCUCACAAAUGAUAAAAAUGGCAUGGUUUUCCUUGAACAGAAAGGAGAGCCUGAUUUCCUUUAGAGAGAAACAAGUUUAGUCGUACACUAUUUUUUUUUUGAGGGAUUUUUUUUAGGGAUAGUCGUACACUAAUUUUUUUUCAACAUAAACAUAACAAACACAACGCAUGCUUUAUGCAGAGAAGUGUCCCUGACACGGAUGCGAUAAGAGACAACUUUUCGUUCAGCUUCAUCUUAUUAUUGAACAAAGAUCACGUGGAACUGGAAGGCUUUGACACGUAGCUAUGCAGAGGAAGCAGCCAGCCGGAGCCGGCGGCUCAGUGCUGUCCCGACAGCUUCUCCUUGAUCUUGUCCAUGAUUCCCUUCUUCUCGCCGGUGCCAGUGCCGGCGCCGGCCAUUCCUGUGUGGCCUUGCUGCCCGUAGGCUGCACCAGUUCCAGUUCCCGGCCCGUAGGCUCCUCCAGUCCCUGUCCCCGUCGCCAUGUGCUGCUGGUUGUCCUUGUGGCCGCCGGGGAGCUUCUCCUUGAUCUUCUCCUUCAUUCCCUUCUUCUUCCUCCCGCCCAUGCCGUCGUCCUCCGAAGACUGCACAGUGUACACGCAC
rnacentral:lncRNA from 1 species